rnacentral:lncRNA from 1 species
GGCUCUGAAGAGUCCUCUCAGAGAAGAGCAGAUUUCUAAUGUUUAGUUUCUGUGUUGGGUAGCCCUAUGUCCAGAUUACAUAGAGAUGCAUUGAAAGCCUUCAGCUGUUGGGCUGGGAGCAGAACCCAGAAGCAGAGCAACUUGCCUACCUGCUUCUCUCAGUAAGUGAGAGGAAAAGACUAAGACCACCCCUACAAAUCUGAACUCUGAGCGGGGAGCAGUUGGGAAGCUGGUCACAGCAGCUUCUGGAAGUGCAAAAGCUUUCUCUGCCUUCACUGCAGGGAAAGAGAAGGUCCCUCAUCUGUCCCCUGAAGAGCACUUCAUAUCACCAAGCGGACCCCUGGCACCUGCCAUUGCAGCUUCCAUUGCUCAGCCACGUGUCCCCUCCACGACUACCCAGCUCCAAGGUCACAUGGCCUGCAAAAAGGAUCUACCAUUGGAGCCAAAGCUCACCCCACUGGAGCACUAAUGUUGAGCAAAUUGGCUUUUGAAUCAUAGGUUUUCUUCACCAAGAAGGACAAGCUAUCAAUAGACACCUGGGACACGAUUCAGUCUGUUGUAACUGCCACCCUGACGCCAGAAGGGGCUUGCAGGGAACCUCCCUCCCUCCCUCGCUCCAUUUCUACAGACAUUAUUUACUGUAACUCUUCUACAGUGCUUACACAACAAGUAAAGGUAGCGCUGG